CCUACGGGUGGCUGCAGUAAGGAAUAUUGGUCAAUGGACGAAAGUCUGAACCAGCCAUCCCGCGUGCAGGAUGAAAGCCCUAUGGGUUGUAAACUGCUUUUAGCAGAGAAGAAAAGCUUUCAUUAAUGAGAGUCUGACGGUAUCUGCAGAAUAAGCACCGGCUAACUCCGUGCCAGCAGCCGCGGUACUACGGAGGGUGCGAGCGUUAUCCGGAAUUACUGGGUUUAAGGGGUAGGAUGAAGGAGUAUGUGAAAUCUGGUCGCGUAACGAUAAAAUGGCCAAUGAUACUGGUACUCUUGAAUUGGGUUGAGGUUAGCGGAAUGUGACAUGUAGCGGUGAAAUGCAUAGAUAUGUCAUGGAACACCAAUUGCGAAGGCAGCUAACUGGGCCUGGAUUGACGCUGAGGCACGAAAGCGUGGGUAGCGAACAGGAUUAGAUACCCGUGUAGUC
rnacentral:rRNA from 1 species